GAAAUCCUCUAUCACUCUAGCCUCACAGCCCUCGCUCCAUUGCAUUGCUACUUUACUCCAUUUCUCUAAUCUCCAUCCGUCUUGUUCCAAGCAGAGCAACCUCUAUCGCUACUCUUUCCAGUUCCCACGAAUUUCCCUCGCUGCACAGCCAUUGAUGCUGUUUGGUGGUUGUGGUGGUGGUGGUGUCCUGUUUGUGCCGUCGCCAAAGACUUUGAUUCCCUCAAUUGUGGGCUCUUCGACUCUUUGUUGAGUGUUCUGCUACUAUUGGGUGAAGGGUUUGAUGCUAAUUUUAAAACGAUAGGGAAUCUAUCAUCUGAAAAAUCAAUAAAUCAAUUUGUUUGUUUUCCCCCCGAUGAAAC
rnacentral:misc_RNA from 1 species